CAGAAGUCAUAAUGGUUUCAGACCAUACACCAGACGGGCAAAGAAAUUUUGCUGGGAAAGCAAAAGAAAAAAAAAAGCAGGUUUAGUUCCCAAAGCUAGAAAUUGUGGUUCUCCUGCCUCGUUGUCUUGGUGUUCCCAGGAUGGAAGGACAGCGCUGCCUCUUUGCUUUUCACCCCAGGACAGAUUAAACCAGAAGCUGGCCAUGUUUGUUUAACCUCAAGCUUUGCUGAACUGGCAUGCCUGAACAGCCCUCAGCACUGCCAGAGCCGCAGAUGCUAAGGUAACAGGAGAAGAGCAGAAAGCUGCAGCCUGUUGCUAAGACAAGGCAGCUUCCAAGUCCUGACCAUGACCACAACAGGCACCCCACGUGGAAGAGAAACUCCAAUGAAAGAGAACAUGGCUGUGAGUUUAUGCUGGCAUCUUUGACAGCACUUCUAAAGGCAAGGAGAAAAGGCUGUGAGAGAUGGGAACAGAGAGGUUAUCAUCACAGAGAAAGAUCUAGGGGAAAUUUCAGGUUGCAUUUCAGCUGGCAAAGAAACAAACCUAUGCAUACACUACUGUACACAUACAGUGACACAGCCAAAGAUACAGAUAAUACCAGUUACAACUAAAAUUUUUUAACAGUUUGCUCAAUCUUUUGCAACAGUUAUGUCUCUUAGUGGAAAUAUUUGCAAAAGCCAAGCACAGCACCAGUACUAAACAUGGACCCAUGAAAGAAGAACAUGGGCUUGGGAUGGAGCUACAGGUCCUGCUGCAUUGGCCCCCGUCUGAUCUUCAGAAUUUCUGCUUUGUGCCCAGCCAACAAGGUACAGAAGCAGUCAAGCAGGAGGACAAGGAUACUACUACAACCUUGAGGUGCCCAAUUCCUUGUGGCAAUAAGAUCCUCAGCAUCAUUACAUGUUGUAACUUGGAAUCAGUGGUAGUCAGCUUUGAGCAAGCUAAGGACAAAUUCAGCUCUGCCAAGUGCUAUUAAGUUAGCAGGUAUUAGGAACAAACAAGGGAGAAGGACAACUCUAGAGACUACUUCUACAAAAGUGCUGCCAGUGAGGCUGUGAAAGGAAUUUCUGCGGCUAACAGCAUAUUGUAAUUGCCUGUAUAACAAUCACAAUGCAAGAUUUUUGUCUGAUAGUAAAAUGAGAAAAUAGCAAUCUGUCUUUCAGAAACUGAUCUAGAGGCAUGAUUUCACAAGCUGCUUUGUAAUGGCAGCUUCCUGAGCCUUACUGAUUCUCACUCAAGACAACAGCUCAUCCUAGUUCACCUAGAGCCCCAGAGGGACAAGUAGCAUGGCAUUCAGCCAAAGGACAUAAUUCUACUGUAAGCCUGCAGCCAUCCAUCUUCUGCCCAGUCCGAUAUCCAAAUUAACAAUAGAACAGUGUGCAUAUCAAAUAACUGUACUAUCUGAAUGUGACAAAAACAUGGUGAGUAGUAACGACUGGAUCAGUCUUCUGGCCUGCUCUUUAAUGUUUUCCACAUUAAACUGAGUAACACACUAGUAAAGGAGUCUUACCUUUAAAAAAGGGGAUCCUUUGUGUAUCCAGAUCUAAUGGGACCAUUAUUGGCCAAGAGGAGAUCUGGAGAGGCUUGACAUUGAUAGAUGUAGAAGGAUCAGCACAGUACAUCAACAUGAAAGUUAAGUAAGUUGCACAGUAUUGUUUGUUUUGUGUUUUAAAACAGCAGGGAAUGUGGAUAGUUAUAGAGAUUAUAUAGAUCAUCAGCAAAGACAGUCUCUGGAAGGUGAAAGAAUACAUCGACCAGAAGGGAGCAACAAGUUCUUGGCUAGAAGGGGAAAAAACCCAAACAUAUCCAUAGAGUAACUUCCUUGGACUGGGAUAACACUCCAUCACCUGAGCUUCCUUACCAAGGCCUGUGUUUAUAAUCAAAAGCAUCCUCCCCUUAUAGAAACAGUUUAACUCCACCGGUUGCACUAUGCAGCUGCUCACAGCAGGAUGCAGCCACAACCCGAGAUAUCCCUCCUUAUGAUACAAGUGAUAAAUUGUCUGAGGAGGAGUCCAUCACAGUACCCAUGCCAGCAUUUGUAGUGGUCUGCUCCAUGCCAGAAGCUCUUUAAUGAAAGCAAGUUCACUAUUUGAUGCUUCAGUCAAAAAGAAAAACAGCAUUUUUCAAAGGCAAGAAAGUGAAAAACCCCAGCUGAUGAGUAUUAAAUAUGGUCAGAAUAGCUUUCCAAGAGUCUGUUUUGAUAAAACCACAAUUUCUUCUUACAAUUCAAUUAAUGUUAGGAAAAGUCCCACAGGAAAAAGUAUUUGAAAAUUAAUUGAGGAAACUUAAGAGAAGUCAUUUAAAAUCUCAUUAUGUGACACUUUAGGUUUCUCACUUUUAUACUGCUGCCUAGAAUAUGAGCACAGAAUAGCUGAAUUACUCCCCGCCACCCCGUCCUGAAAUCUAGUUCUGGUUUCAAUUUGUCUGUUGAUUGAAAUACCAUUCUCUUGCUAAUUCAAGGUAUUACAUCUGUUUGUCACCAUGAAGUCUGAACAACUUACAGACAAAAAAAAAAAUCUCGGAAAUCAAAUCUUUGGGAAAUAACGAUGAAUAAGAAAGCCCCCAGAACAGACGUUUUCAUCACAGCUUUGAAUCAGGAACAAAUUUCAAAGCAGCAAGAUUAUUCACAAAGCAUAUCAUAGGUUUUACUGACUCUACAUAACAGUAUUUAUCUAUUCUUACGUAAAAGCUUCCCGUUACAGAGAAAAACACCACUAUUUCCCACAUGAUUUGUCCUGAAUAAAGAUCUGCCUCAGUAACGGCCAGGCCAUACCCAUCUAAUCUCAAGAAGACUGAACAAAUUCUACCACCUACAGAAAAGCCAUCUCUAUCUGCAUCUGCCCUCUUAGGGCUUACAUGUGGGAAUCAACAAGAAAAAUGGCACUUGGCCAAAGGACUCUUGCCUUGUCUUGCACUCUGUGACAUAAUCAAAACUAGCUGUUGAAAUAAUAUUGAGUCAACUGGUGGACUCAAAGUUGAAGUGCAUCUUGUGUGUGCCCACGAAUACAAAGCUAGUCACUGUCUGAUCUUAACCACAAAUACAACUUUAUGUUUGAGGGUGUGUGCACUCAGUUCUCCCUUUCUACUUUACCAUGCAUGUUAGUAAGAUACUGGGUAGACAAUUGACAAUAAAAAAUCUCACUAUUAAAAAAGGGCAUUGGUGCAACAAAAUAUUGCUGUUUAGAGUGGAAAGUGAGCAAGGACUCCUCUUGAGAGAUGGAAAAAUCCAGGUAUAGGUCAGCAUGGAGGAAAAAGAAUGGUGGGCCAUUCUCUUACGUACUGAAUUUCACGUUCUGCACCUCAAGCUUAUUGAAGGACAUAAAAUAAGUACAGUUUUAGUCUGUACUGUCCCACAAGAUGCUCCUUCUAGCACACGAAUUUCCACAGAGGUCAUGAGAACAUAUAUUCCAUAAAGACUGCUUAUUUGCACACAAAAAUGGGGUGGGUGAUAAGGAAAACAAGCUUUUUGUAACCUCCUGGAGCAUUAAAACAGACAUUUUAUUAAUUAUGGCUAUGUAAGGGGACUUUUUCUGUGUAUGAGUGCAUGCACGCCUUGCUUUAAAUCUCCUACAGACAUGUUUAUAGAAGGAAGGUUAAAUAUUUUUCCAUAGCUUCAUGGAAAAUUACUAUGAGAAACCUUGGAGGAACACAGCUGUGGGGUCCUUCAUUACCUCAGCACAAGCAGAGCCUUCUAUUCACUGACAUUUCAUUGUGUUUUGCUGGGUAUGUGUUCCCAGGUGUACACUCAACCCUUCUGAAACAUGACACCAAAAGAGAUGAAUUUUUCCUUCCCAAUCUGGCUAAUAUUUUUGAAAGAACCACCGAGGACAACUUUACUUUCCCACCCAACAGAUCACAUACCAUUUCCCAAACCUAAAUCCAAUUUUGUAAUAAGAGAAAAGGGGCUGAGGAGAUGCCAUCACUCACAUACGUCCUAACCUAGUACCAAAACACAUAGAGCCAUUCUACAUCCUCAUUUAAGUCCAGAGAUCUAACAGCUUCUUAGUAUUUCACCUCGCUGUACUCCAUGCUCUGAGUUCAGGCAGAUAUUUUUGCCUUACACCUCGUCCCAAACUGCAAAAAUAACACCUCUCCUCCUUAGAGGGGCAGCAUUUUUGCAGCAUGUUAAAAACUGCCCUGGUACUUCUCAGUAAUCCACUAAAGAUGCUGGGGAUUCUCUAAAAUGAAAGGCUCUUUACAGAUAUAAAAUAUAGUAUAAACAAAACCACACAGUAAAAAAAUUAACAAAUAAAUCCACACACAGAAAAACUGGACAUUUUUCACUGCCCCCCCAGUUCACUCCGAUCCCUUAGAUGAGACUGACCAGGACUGGCAUGAAGCUGAUGGCCAAGCUGUAGAAAUAAGGAAACAGGAAAAAAUAAAAAAAAUCAGGGUAAGAAAAUAUUUAUUAUUAAGGGCUUGCUGCCUACUAAACAGUUGCUAACAGAUAAAAACACCCUUCACACUAAAAAACACUCAAGCCACUGUUUCUUCAUACCAGCUUUGUCAGUGCACAUGUCAAAACAGCUGGCUGAAUAAUUAGAAGGACGGUGGGGCUUAUAUAUUAAAUUUUUAUAGUGUGAAUAUUUUCAUUCUGUACAAAUAUUGGUUUUAAAAGAAAAACGGAAGCUUGAAUAUACAAGGCAGGCCAGUGAUUCUAGGAGUGAAUAAGAUCUUGGUAACUACUGGUAGUCUUCUUUAGCAUAUUAAGUGUUUGCUGAUACAUCAGUCCAUCCCACUGAAAUUCUGCAUAUCAACUCUGAAUCAUAUUUCCUCAUCCAUCUCCCAGUUUGGAGUUGACCUGGUGACAGUGACUUGGUGAAUUUGAGAGGCUAAUGCUAACAAAUAGAAUUUCCUCCACCUCCAGAUUUUAAACUAACUGGAGAUGCUGGAGAAUCUGAAACUCCUUUUCUCCUCCUGGAUGAACUCCUAUGGACUCUGUCCACAGUAAAUAUGUGCAAAUUCAGAGGGAAAAGGUUGGUGACAUACUAUAUAAACUGAUAAGUUUUUUCCUUGGGACUUUCAAGAUGCUCGAUGUCAAAUGCCUCUUACUGAAAAAAAAAGUUUGUAACUACUCCUUUCAUUUCUUCCCUUUUUAACAAAUGAGAAGAGAGAAACCAUGAAGAA
ensembl:lncRNA